rnacentral:rRNA from 1 species
GGGAAGUAGUGACAACACAGGGUAGGAUACCUGCACUCCCAAAGUGGCAAGUUGGUAGGGCAAGUCUGGAGCCAGCAGCCGCGGCUAAUUCCAGCUCCAAUAGCGUAUAUUAAAAUUGUUGCAGUUAAAAAGCUCGUAGUUGAAUUUCUGCUGCAUUGCUUUUGCUCCUUUACGAGUCUUUGCAUUGUGGCUUAUUUCGGACUUUGUUUUACAAUGUCCGGAUGUUUACUUUGAGAAAAUUAGAGUGCUCAAAGCAGGCUUUCGCCUUGAAUAGUUUAGCAUGGAAUAAUAAAGUAGGACUUUGGUUCUAUUUUGUUGGUUUUAGGUACCAAAGUAAUGGUUAAUAGGAACAGUUGGGGGCAUUCGUAUUUAACUGUCAUAUGUGAAAUUCUUAGA